rnacentral:rRNA from 1 species
ACCAACAGGGAUUGCCUCAGUAGCGGCGAGUGAAGCGGCAAAAGCUCAGAUUUGAAAUCGUGUUUCGGCACGAGUUGUAGAUUGCAGGUUGGAGUCUUUGUGGAAGCGUGUGUCUAAGUCCCUUGGAACAGGGUGCCAUUGAGGGUGAGAGCCCCGUGAGACGCGUGCGGAAGCUGUAAGGCCCUUCUGACGAGUCGAGUUGUUUGGGAAUGCAGCUCUAAGUGGGUGGUAAAUUCCAUCUAAGGCUAAAUAUUGGCGAGAGACCGAUAGCGAACAAGUACUGUGAAGGAAAGAUGAAAAGCACUUUGAAAAGAGAGUGAAACAGCACGUGAAAUUGUUGAAAGGGAAGGGUAUUGGGCUCGACAUGGGAUUUGCGCACCGCUGCUCCUUGUGGGCGGCGCUCUGUGCUUUUCCUGGGCCAGCAUCGGUUUUUGCCGCAGGAGAAGGCGUGCUGGAAUGUGGCUCUUCGGAGUGUUAUAGCCAGUGCGAGAUGCUGCGUGCGGGGACCGAGGACUGCGACAUCUGUCUCGGAUGCUGGCACAACGGCGCAAUACCGCCCGUCUGACACCACGGAACC